UACGUAGGGGGCAAGCGUUGUCCGGAUUUAUUGGGCGUAAAGAGCGUGUAGGCGGCUAGAUAGGUCCGUUGUGAAAACUCGAGGCUCAACCUCGAGACGUCGAUGGAAACCAUCUGGCUAGAGUCCGGAAGAGGAGAAUGGAAUUCCUGGUGUAGCGGUGAAAUGCGCAGAUAUCAGGAGGAACACCUAUUGCGAAGGCAGCUCGCUGGGACGUAACUGACGCUGAGACGCGAAAGCGUGGGGAGCAAACAGG
rnacentral:rRNA from 1 species